UACAGAGGAUGCAAGCGUUAUCCGGAAUGAUUGGGCGUAAAGCGUCUGUAGGUGGCUUUUUAAGUCCGCCGUCAAAUCCCAGGGCUCAACUCUGGACAGGCGGUGGAAACUACCAAGCUGGAGUACGGUAGGGGCAGAGGGAAUUCCGGUGGAGCGGUGAAAUGCGUAGAGAUCGGAAAGAACACCAACGGCGAAGCACUCUGCUGGCCGACACUGACACUGAGAGACGAAAGCUAGGGGAGCGAAUGGG
rnacentral:rRNA from 1 species